rnacentral:lncRNA from 1 species
AUGUCGCAUCGUGUUCCAUUGCAUCCAUUUCCAUUGAAUUGCAUCCCAUUCUGUUGCACACUGUUGCAUCGUGUUGCACUGUGCUGCAUUGCAUUGCAUCCCAUUGCAUUACACCGCGUUGUGUUGCAUUGCACUGCAGCCCAGUGCAUCGUGCACUGCGCUGCGCUGCAUUGCAUUACAGCCUGCUGCAUUACUUUGCAUGGCAUCACGUCACACUGUGUUGUUGCAUUGCACUGCAGCCCAUCACAUCGCAUUGCACACUGCAUUAUGUUGCAUUGCAGCCUGUUUCACUGCAUCGCAACCUGCCAUGUUGCAUUGCAUGUUGCAUUAUGCUGCACUGCAUUACAACCUGUUGCAUUGCAUUACAUCGCACCAUGUUGCAUUACACUGCACCGCGCUGCAUCGCACUGCACUGCAACCCACCGUGUUGCAUUGCACACUGCAUUUUGUUGCAUUGCAUUACAGCCUGUCGCGUUACGUUGCAUUGCAUUACGCUGCACCGUGUUGCAUUGCGCUGCACCGCAACCCGCCGCGUUGCACUGCACACUGCAUUACGCUGCACCCUGUUGCAUUGUGUUACGUUGCAUUGCACCGUGUUGCAUUGCACCGCGUUGCAUUGCAUUGCACCGUGUUGCAUUGCAUUGCACUGCAGCCCAUCACAUCGCAUUGCACACUGCAUUAUGUUGCAUCGUGUUGCAUCGCAGCCUGUUUGAUUGCAUCACAGCCCGUCGUGUUGCACUGCACAUUGCAUUAUGCUGCAUUGCAUUACAGCCUGUUGCAUCGCGUUGCGUUACACCGCGUUGCAUUGCAUUGCACUGCAGCCCAUCGCAUCCCAUCGCACGCUGCAUUUCAUUGCACCCUGCUGCAUCGCAACCUGUUUCAUUGCAUUGCAACCUGUCGUGUUGCAUUGCACACUGCAUUACACUGCAUCGCAUUACAGCCUGUCGCGCUAUGUUGCAUUGCAUUACGCUGCACCGUGUUGCAUUGCAUUGCACCGCGUUGCAUUGCACACUGCAUCACACUACAGCCUGUCGCGCUACGUUGCAUUGCAUUAUGCUGUUCUGCAUUGCAUUGCACUGCACCGCAACCUGCCGCGUUGCAUUGCACACUGCAUUACGCUGCACCCUGUUGCAUUGCAUUACGUUGCAUCGCAAUACGUUGCAUUGCACCGUGUUGCAUUGCAUCGCACCGUGUUGCAUUGCAUUGCACCGCGUUGCAUUGCACCGCGUUGCAUUGCAUUGCGCCGUGUUGCAUUGCAUUGCACCGCGUCCCGUUGCAUCGCGCCGCCCCGCCGCAACCAGCCCUGCUCAGCGCCCCCGGGGCCGUGCCCCGGCGGUGCCCCGGUGCUGCUCCCGGUGCUCCCGGUGCCGGUCCCCCCCGGUGCCCCGGGGACUCACCGUCGGCGCAGCUCGGCGGGCAGCGGGGCCGGGGGCAGCGGCGCGGCCCGGGCCGGCAUCGGGAGGGCGGCGGCGGGAGCGUGCCGGUCCCCCCCGGUGCCCCGGGGACUCACCGUCGGCGCAGCUCGGCGGGAAGCGGGGCCGGGGGCAGCGGCGCGGCCCGGGCCGGCAUCGGGAGGGCGGCGGCGGGAGC